AUUAGGCAUGACAUGCCUAGUAUGCGGGUUUUUGAGGACAUGGCCCUUGAUAGGAAAGUCUGGAGGUCUAGUAUUUGGGUCGUAGGAUAGGGGCUCCUAGAGUUUUUCGUACUCCUCACACGGGGUUGGGUGAGGCUGGGCAGGGCUACCCAUAGAUGAUUUGUGUAUUGGAUUGUGUCUCCCUUAUGGUAGUUAUUUAUGAUAGUUACUAUUUGAUAUUAUUGCAUGCAAUUUUAUUUAUGGUUCUUAUGUCUAGAUAAUUAUUUACGAUAUUUCUGCUGGUGUUACUAAUGCCCUUUUGUCUUUGUUUUUGUUUUUCCUUUCCUUCACUGAGCCGAGGGUCGAUUGGAAACAGCCUCUCUGCCCUUUCGGGUAGGGGUAAGGCUCGUCUACAUAUUACCCUCCCUAGACCCCACUGUGUGGGACAUUACUGGGUAGUUGUUGUUGUUGUUGUAAAAGUCAGAAGAGAAAAUUGUAGAAAUCCCAAAAUCAAAACCCUAGAACCCUAAUUUUUCGCCUAUUUUUAUUCUUCUCCCAUUUUCUGUCUAAGGCUCCAAAUAUAUAGGAAGCCCUAGAAGCUUCUUCUCCUAUUCUCCAAGAAAGCCCCAAAAACCCGAAUUUGCCCUCUCCCUUUUCUUAUCCUAUACAAAUGGAAGGCUAGGAUCAAUUUCGAAUUAAUCCUACGUCUCCCCUUCGUCUAGCAUGUGCUUGAGAGGGAUUUUUUUUAUGGUUCAAAUUGGGUUGGGAGGGAGCGCGUG
rnacentral:lncRNA from 1 species